GGUCCCGUAGCUCAACGGAUAGAGCACUUGGCUUCGAACCAAGGGGUUGGAGGUUCGAGUCCUUCCGGGAUCG
rnacentral:tRNA from 1 species